UACGGGAGGCAGCAGUGGGGAAUAUUGCACAAUGGGCGCAAGNCUGAUGCAGCAACGCCGCGUGGAGGAAGACGGUUUUCGGAUUGNAAACUCCUGUUCUUAGUGACAGAANAAGUGACGGUAGCUAAGGAGCAAGCCACGGCUAACUACGUGCCAGCAGCCGCGGUAAU
rnacentral:rRNA from 1 species